CGUCGCCGCCGCCGCCGCCCCCGCGGAUCUCGGCUAUCGCUGUAGUCACGAUCUCGGCUAAUUUUCUAAAUUUUAAUUUUUAAAAUUUAAAAUUUAAAAUUAUUUAAUAGUUAAUAAUUUAAAUUUAAAUUUUAAACUUUUAUUUUAAAUUUUUAGAUUUUAAAGUCAUUUAAUAACUAAUAAUUUAAGUUUUAACUUUCAAGGCUAAUUUUUAAAGAUUAUCAGAAAUUCUAUAGAAUUGUAUAAUAUGUAUCCAAAUAGCUUUUAAAAUAAACCCGUGGAAUUUUUUUGAAGUUACAGGAUACUCCAUUUUGAAGUUACAGGAUAUUCCAUUUCAUUUGGACCAAAACUACUGUAUUUUGACUCCCUGAAAUUUUUUUACUACUCAUCCAAACAGGGCCUUAGGCCCCGUUUGGAUACCUCUAAAAACGUAGCAUAGUUUAACGCCGGUAGAAAAAUAAUCCUAUGAAGCGUUUGGAAGAAAAAAAAAUAAAGUAAUUUUUGAAGUAUAGUUAUACUAUACUUCAAAAAAAAAAUGGAGUAAACUUACAAUCUACUUUAACCAAAGGAAAAAAUUUUCACAAUUUUGGGCUCCCAAAGAUGCAUCAAUUUCUAAAUUUUAAAUUUCAAAAUAAAAUUUUAAAUUUCAAAUUUUAAAAUUUUAAAAUUCAAUUUUAAUUUUGAUUUUAAAUUUCAAAUUUCAAAUUUCAACUUUCAACUUUCAACUUUCAAAUUUCAAAUUUCAAAUUUCAAAUUUCAAAUUUCAAAAAGUUCA
rnacentral:lncRNA from 1 species